GCUGGCGGCGUGCUUACGCAUGCAAGUCGGACGCGAGAGUAUUUCUUCGGAUAUACGAUUAGAGUGGUGGACGGGUGAGUAUGGCGUAGGUAAUCUACCUAUAAGAGAGGGAUAGCCCCGGGAAACCGGGAUUAAUACCUCAUGUGACCUGUAAGGGUUAAAGAUGGCCUCUGUUUCAAGCUGUUGCUUAUAGAUGAGCCUGCGUCCUAUUAGCUAGUUGGUAGAGUAAAGGUUUACCAAGGCGAUGAUAGGUAGGCGGACUUAACGGGUGGUCGCCCACACUGGGAUUGAGAUACGGCCCAGACUCCUACCGGAGGCAGCAGUCGAGAAUAGUCUACAAUGGACGGAAGUCUGAUAGUGCGACGCCCCGUGGACCAAAAAACAUUUCGGUGUGUAAAGUCCUUUUCUGUGUGAGCAGGUUGGAAUAAAUUAAUAGUUUAUACUGAUUGAUAUUAGUGCAAGAAUAAGCCACGGCCAGCUCCGUGCCUACAGCCGCGGUAACCCGGGUGUGGCGAGCGUUGUCCGGAAUUACUAGGCGUAUAUGGCAUAUAUGA
rnacentral:rRNA from 1 species